rnacentral:rRNA from 1 species
GAUGAACGCUGGCGGCGUGCCUAAUACAUGCAAGUCGAGCGAACAGACGAGGAGCUUGCUCCUCUGACGUUAGCGGCGGACGGGUGAGUAACACGUGGAUAACCUACCUAUAAGACUGGGAUAACUUCGGGAAACCGGAGCUAAUACCGUAUAACAUGUUGAACCGCAUGGUUCGACAGUGAAAGACGGUCUUGCUGUCACUUAUAGAUGGAUCCGCGCCGCAUUAGCUAGUUGGUAAGGUAACGGCUUACCAAGGCAACGAUGCGUAGCCGACCUGAGAGGGUGAUCGGCCACACUGGAACUGAGACACGGUCCAGACUCCUACGGGAGGCAGCAGUAGGGAAUCUUCCGCAAUGGGCGAAAGCCUGACGGAGCAACGCCGCGUGAGUGAAGAAGGUCUUCGGAUCGUAAAACUCUGUUAUUAGGGAAGAACAAAUGUGUAAGUAACUAUGCACGUCUUGACGGUACCUAAUCAGAAAGCCACGGCUAACUACGUG